rnacentral:rRNA from 1 species
AAAUUGCAGUUGAUACUGUCAGUCUUGAGUACAGUAGAGGUGGGCGGAAUUCGUGGUGUAGCGGUGAAAUGCUUAGAUAUCACGAAGAACUCCGAUUGCGAAGGCAGCUCACUGGACUGCAACUGACACUGAUGCUCGAAAGUGUGGGUAUCAAACAGGAUUAGAUACCCUGGUAGUCCACACAGUAAACGAUGAAUACUCGCUGUUUGCGAUAUACAGUAAGCGGCCAAGCGAAAGCAUUAAGUAUUCCACCUGGGGAGUACGCCGGCAACGGUGAAACUCAAAGGAAUUGACGGGGGCCCGCACAAGCGGAGGAACAUGUGGUUUAAUUCGAUGAUACGCGAGGAACCUUACCCGGGCUUAAAUUGCAGUGGAAUGAUGUGGAAACAUGUCAGUGAGCAAUCACCGCUGUGAAGGUGCUGCAUGGUUGUCGUCAGCUCGUGCCGUGAGGUGUCGGCUUAAGUGCCAUAACGAGCGCAACCCUUAUCUUCAGUUACUAACAGGUCAUGCUGAGGACUCUGGAGAGACUGCCGUCGUAAGAUGUGAGGAAGGUGGGGAUGACGUCAAAUCAGCACGGCCCUUACGUCCGGGGCUACACACGUGUUACAAUGGGGGGUACAGAAGGCAGCUAGCGGGUGACCGUAUGCUAAUCCCAAAAUCCUCUCUCAGUUCGGAUCGAAGUCUGCAACCCGACUUCGUGAAGCUGGAUUCGCUAGUAAUCGCGCAUCAGCCACGGCGCGGUGAAUACGUUCCCGGGCCUUGUACACACCGCCCGUCAAGCCAUGGGAGCCGGGGGUACCUGAAGUACGUAACCGCAAGGAUCGUCCUAGGGUAAAACUGGUGACUGGGGCUAAGUCGUAACAAGGUAACCA